rnacentral:rRNA from 1 species
GAUGAACGCUGGCGGCGUGCCUAAUACAUGCAAGUCGAGCGAACGGACGAGAAGCUUGCUUCUCUGAUGUUAGCGGCGGACGGGUGAGUAACACGUGGAUAACCUACCUAUAAGACUGGGCUAACUUCGGGAAACCGGAGCUAACACCAGUAAAUAUUUUGAACCGCAUGGUUCAAAAGUGAAAGACGCUCUUGCUGUCACUUAUAGAUGGUUCCGCGCUUCAUUAGCUAGUUGGUAAGGAAACGACUUCCCAAGGCAACGAAGCAUAACCAACCCCUGAGGGUCAUCGCCCCCCCUGGAACUGAGACACGUUCCAGACUCCUACGGGAGGCAGCAGUCGCGAAUCUUCCGCAAUGGGCGAAAGCCUGACGGAGCAACGCCGCGUGAGUGAUGAACGUCUUCGGAUCGUAAAACUCUGUUAUUAGGGAAGAACAUAUGUGUAAGUAACUGUGCACAUCUUGACGGUACCUAAUCAGAAAGCCACGGCUAACUACGUG